rnacentral:tRNA from 1 species
ACUCUAAUAGUUUAUGAAAACGUUGGUCUUGUAAACCAAAGAUUGAAGAUUACACCCCUUCUUAGAGUUACCGCGCAUCC